UGAAAGCGCCCGAUCCCGUCGGACCUCAAAAGCAAAGCA
rnacentral:rRNA from 1 species